GCGGAUGUGGCGGAACUGGCAGACGCGCAACGUUGAGGUCGUUGUGGGGUAAUCCCCGUGGAGGUUCAAGUCCUCUCAUCCGCACCA
rnacentral:tRNA from 1 species